ACGUUUCGAAAGGAACGCUAAUACCGCAUACGUCCUACGGGAGAAAGCAGGGGACCUUCGGGGCUUGCGCUAUCAGAUGAGCCUAGGUCGGAUUAGCUAGUAGGUGAGUGUAAUGGCUCACCUAGGCGACGAUCCGUAACUGGUCUGAGAGGAUGAUCAGUCACACUGGAACUGAGACACGGUCCAGACUCCUACGGGAGGCAGCAGUGGGGAAUAUUGGACAAUGGGCGAAAGCCUGAUCCAGCCAUGCCGCGUGUGUGAAGAAGGUCUUCGGAUUGUAAAGCACUUUAAGUUGGGAGGAAGGGCAGUAAGUUAAUACCUUGCUGUUUUGACGUUACCAACAGAAUAAGCACCGGCUAACUUCGUGCCAGCAGCCGCGGUAAUACGAAGGGUGCAAGCGUUAAUCGGAAUUACUGGGCGUAAAGCGCGCGCAGGUGGUUCAGCAAGUUGGAGGUGAAAUCCCCGGGCUCAACCUGGGAACUGCCUCCAAAACUAUUGAGCUAGAGUACGGUAGAGGGUAGUGGAAUUUCCUGUGUAGCGGUGAAAUGCGUAGAUAUAGGAAGGAACACCAGUG
rnacentral:rRNA from 1 species